GAAGGAAAAGAAAAGGAAAAGAAGAAAGGAAGAAGAAGGAGAAGAAAGAGAGAGAGAUGGGGACGUCGGCUUCCAUGGCCGACAAGGGAGGCGUCCGCCUAGGGCUCGGCGAAGCUGGCCGGAGGUGCAGCUAGCGCCGGCGAGCUCAUGGAUGGUGACGGUGGCAGCGCAAGGGACGUCAGCAGACGACGAAAAAGGAGGAAAGCAGCAGCCUUUUUGGACGCCGUUCAUGGCGUUUCCGGUGUCGAUCGCCAUCUAUCGACUCCCCUCAGCCUAGGCUUUGUCUUGGCGGCAGCGGCGAUGCAAAUAGUGGCCGGAGUUGGAAGUUCGUGGUGGAGAGAGAAAAUGAGUGGCAGCCGGUGUUUUCUCACUUUUCCAGCGAGCUUUGGCCGAUCGCAGGGUAUAUCCGGACUCCCCUCAGCUCAAGCUUUCCAAUGGCACCGGUUUCGUGGCGAUCGGACUCUGUUUGAAACUCGACGGUCGAGAUCAUCUGUAAAUCUUUCUGGAUGAUCGGGGGUCAGAUUGGAAGAUUGGAAGCAGGGAUCGUCAUCAGCGCAUCGUUUUGAAUCUGUUGGUGCGUUCGGAUCGUCGAUCGGACUCCGGCGGUUGGAGGCGAGUUGGCCGAGCAAUUAAGCGUCUUAAUAAUUCUCUAGCCUGUUGAUUUUAAAAUUUACUGAUAAUCCGUCAGUUCGGCUCGCUCCACCUGAGGCAUCGGAGCAGAGCUAGAAGAUCGUCAGAUCUGUGAUUGUUAGUCUUUCCGCAGUUCUUAUCUAGCAGUCCGACUCCUUCAUCAUCGGGUUGCUGUAUUUGAUUUUGUGCUGUGUUAAUGACGUGUUGCCAAGCUUACAGAGCCAAGCCAUACUCAGCAUUGGGCAUCAUUUGCCAAAGAGCACUCGUGCUGCAACUGGAAGCUGCUGUCCUCCUCACAUUCCUCGACUGCUUUGCUGCCUCAUUCCUUGAAGCUGUUGGCCAAUCGAAGGCCAUCGCCGAGCAAGGCCAAAUAUUUUGUCGGGGUUUAUUCCUUGAAUUAUACGCACUUCCUAUAUGCUUCCCAGUGCAGAGGUUUCUCCAAGCGCAGAACAUUGCAAACCCAAUAGCAUACAUGUCUGUCGCAGUGCUGUUAAUUAACAUUCCCAUUUCAUGGCUAGCUGUAUACGUAUUGGACUGCGGUCUUAUUGGAGUAUCCAUAUUGGUGGGUUCUUGACAUCUUCUUGGCACUUUACAUUCUUCUAAGACCUAAAUGCAAGAAAACUUGAACUGGGUUUUCUUCAAGUGCUUUCGAAGGAAUAUGGCCUUUUUCCAAGUUCGCAGCUGCCUCUGGUGCCAUGCUUUGCUUGGAAAUGUGGUACAACCAAGGAGUAGUUCUCCUUGCAGGACUCCUGUCGAACCCCAUAGUUUCACUGGACUCAAUGUCCGUAAGCAUGACUCACUGGAACUGGGACUUGACAUUCAUAUGGGGCCUCUUCAAAGCUGUCAGGUUUGCGCCUGAUACGCUAACGAAAUUAUAUGUUGUGCCUUUUUGUUGUUUUGGUGUGAAUAUAACUAUAUGUGUGCUAUUGAUGUGUGUUCACCUUAUCCAACGUUUCACAUUCUCAUGUGCUAUAUAUUCCAUGGUUCAAUUCUCAUGUGCUAUAUAUUCCAUGGUUCAAUUCUCAUGUGCUAUAUAUUCGAUGUUAACCAUCCUCAGUCUUUACAUGAAUGUGAUGUAAAAAGUGUUCAUAUAUUUUAAAGGAAAAAAUAUAUAAAAAGAAUAGGUUUA